UGGCUUAGAAAGUAUUUAAUGGUCAGUGGAAAAAAAUGAGGAAGAGGAGGGUGUGGCUGCCGCUUAGAGGAUCUGACCCUGCGAACGGGCACUGGCUUGUGGAGAUACAGUCCUUCAUCCUAAGAAAAUGAAGAUCUCUUUUAGCCGCCCAUUGUUACCGCCGGGCGCUGGCAGCCGGGGGCAGUUGUGGCAGGGGAGCGGCGACGGAGAAGCCGGCGCCGGUUGCUAGGAGACUGCAGAGCUGCAAGGUGAACACCACCGCCACCAGCACCACAUCGGCGGCUCCCCGAGGCUGGCUUUCCACCUUGCGCAGGG